ensembl:lncRNA
UUCCCUGGUUACAGUGGAGUGGGGAACUUCCCUGGUCACAGUGGGGAACUUCCCUGGUUACAGUGGAGUGGGGAACUUCCCUGGUCACAGUGGAGUUCCCUUGUCUAUGUUAUAUAACAAAUGUCGCGCAACGAUAAAUGAACUGUUUUACAUGCUGAUUCAAAUUUAGGCAAAACCAUUGGGCCGAAAUCUUCUCCUCCUCCAUAUCCCCCCUUUGACGAAUGGCUCCCUCCAUGAGCCAAUCGGCAAAUAGUAGAGAUCAUGGUUGAUGGUAAACAGGGCAUGCCAGACAGAAGAUGUAGCCCUAAGACAGACCUAUUAUUGCUCUCCAAACCCCACACCAUGCUGAGUCUGAGUAGACAGUAAGGGCCUUCCCUUCCCCCAAUUCACAAGCUGUAUUCAGAGCUAAUCAAUCUGCCUGUUGCGCUGAUAAGCAUUUUCAGCUCUGGGUGAGUGGUACUGUGGCUGAUAAGCAUUUUCAGCUCUGGGUGAGUGGUACGGUGGCUGAGGAGCAUGUCCAGCUCCAGGUGAGUGGUACUGUGGCUGAGGAGCAUGUCCAGCUCCAGGUGAGUGGUACUGUGGCUGAGGAGCAUAUUAUUACCAUGGCGGGUAGUACACACCAAUAUGUGCAUUAGCAAAGCUUCCUCUUCCUCUGCCCCUAUUGAAACCUCUUCCUCUUUCAUUCACUGUGAACUCACGUGCCCCAACUGCCCACAGGACCAGCGUUGAGUGUUGUUCCAGUCACAAAGUGCCAUGGCGGGCCAACCUCCUCUUCCUGUCCAUGUCUGUG